UACGAAGGGGGCUAGCGUUGCUCGGAAUGACUGGGCGUAAAGGGCGCGUAGGCGGCUCAUCCAGUCAGGCGUGAAAUUCCUGGGCUCAACCUGGGGACUGCGCUUGAGACGUGUGGGCUUGAGUGGGGAAGAGGGUCGUGGAAUUCCCAGUGUAGAGGUGAAAUUCGUAGAUAUUGGGAAGAACACCGGUGGCGAAGGCGGCGACCUGGUCCUUGACUGACGCUGAGGCACGAAAGCUAGGGGAGCAAACAGG
rnacentral:rRNA from 1 species